UGUGUUCUAGACAGUUCUAGAUUGAACAUAGGUCUCCUGCCAACAAAUUCUCUCUGCUGUUCACAUUACUCUUUAUUUAACAUAUGAACCAGGUUACUAAAAUAGGGAAAAUCAUGUGUCUUAAAACAUGAAAAUAGUAACGUCUUUGAGGUCACUUGACCUUUUCUAGGUAGGCUUUUUAAUGUGUUUUAUCUCAUUUCUCAAUGUUAGAAUACGGGUAGAUUUAAUUUUGCUAUAUAGGAAAUGGUUCAUCUUUGUACCAAAAUAUUGGAUUCUUCUGAUAUUUAGACCGUUGGAAACUUUCUAAAAUUAGGAUUUUGUAGUGUAUACUAAACAAUUGCAAAUUGCAUAUUCACAAAAAUGUAUUCUGAGUAUGGUGAUAUUAAACAUUUUUCCCCAAGGAAAUUACUGUCAUGCCUGUUAUUUCUAAAAAAUGUACAUAAAUAUUUCUGUGAAAGUUCUUUUAAAUUGACCCCCUACAAGACUUCUGUGAAGUCCUUCUCCCUAAAUUGAAGCAAACUGUAAACCAAAUAAAGAUCAUGUAAAGCCUUGAAGAGGAAUUGUUUUCAUUUUUGUUGCUCAAGUUAUAUCUAAAUGUACAUUAUAGUUUAUAUGCACUGUUUUAGAUACUGGUUAGGCAAUCUAGACAAGAUAUAUGAAGGGCUGUAAAAAUGGUAAGAGUUUAUUCUGACCAUAACUUGAGGCUCAGACAAAAAUUUAUUUGCAGGCUAGGUACAGGGUUCAUGCCUGUAAUCCCAGCAUGUUAUGGAGCUAAGGUGGGAGGAUCACUUAAGGCAAGGAGUUCAAGAUCAGCUUGGGCAACAUAGCGAGACACCAUCUCUACAAAAAUAAUAAAAUAAAAAUUAGCCAAGCACAGAGGCGUGUGACUGUAGUCCUCUAGCUACUUAGGAGGCUGAGGCAGGAGUAUUGCUUGAACCCAGGAGUUCAAGACUGGAAUGAGCUGAGA